rnacentral:misc_RNA from 1 species
GAUGAAGAACGCAGCGAAAUGCGAUAAGUAAUGCGAAUUGCAGAAUUCAGUGAGUCAUCGAAUCUUUGAACGCACAUUGCGCCCGCCAGUAUUCUGGCGGGCAUGCCUGUCUGAGCGUCAUUUCAACCCUCAGCCCCCGCUCGCGGGGCGCUGGCGUUGGGGAUCGGCCGUCCUCGCGGCGGCCGGCCCCGAAACACAGUGGCGGGCUCUCGCGGACUCCCCUGCGUAGUAGCACUACCUCGCAGAAGGGACGAGCGGGCUGACCACGCCGUAAAACCCCCCACUUCUCCAGGUUGACCUCAGAUCAGGUAGGAAUACCCGCUGAACUUAAGCAUAUCAAUAAGCGGAGGA